rnacentral:rRNA from 2 species
GGCUUUGCCUGCUAUCUCUUACCCAUGUCUUUUGAGUACUUACGUUUCCUCGGCGGGUCCGCCCGCCGAUUGGACAAUUUAAACCAUUUGCAGUUGCAAUCAGCGUCUGAAAAACUUUAAUAGUUACAACUUUCAACAACGGAUCUCUUGGUUCUGGCAUCGAUGAAGAACGCAGCGAAAUGCGAUAAGUAGUGUGAAUUGCAGAAUUCAGUGAAUCAUCGAAUCUUUGAACGCACAUUGCGCCCCUUGGUAUUCCAUGGGGCAUGCCUGUUCGAGCGUCAUUUGUACCUUCAAGCUUUGCUUGGUGUUGGGUGUUUGUCUCGCCUCUGCGUGUAGACUCGCCUUAAAACAAUUGGCAGCCGGCGUAUUGAUUUCGGAGCGCAGUACAUCUCGCGCUUUGCACUCAUAACGACGACGUCCAAAAGUACAUUUUUACACUCUUGACCUCGGAUCAGGUAGGGAUACCCGCUGAACUUAAGCAUAUCAAUAAGCGGAGGAA